UACGAAGGGAGCUAUCGUUGUUCGGAAUUACUGGGCGUAAAGCGCACGUAGGCGGGCUGAUAAGUCAGGGGUGAAAUCCCGAGGCUCAACCUCGGAACUGCCUUUGAUACUGUUAGUCUUGAGAUCGGGAGAGGUGAGUGGAAUUCCUAGUGUAGAGGUGAAAUUCGUAGAUAUUAGGAAGAACACCAGUGGCGAAGGCGGCUCACUGGCCCGAUACUGACGCUGAGGUGCGAAAGCGUGGGGAGCAAACAGG
rnacentral:rRNA from 1 species